rnacentral:rRNA from 1 species
UGGGUAAAAAAAAAGGGGGAAGGGUGGAGUAAAACGGGGGGUAACCUACCUAAAAGGGGGGGAUAACAUUCGGAAAACGGAUGCUAAUACCGAUAUAUCUUUUUGUCUCCUGGCCAAAGAAUAAAGACGGUUUCGGCUGUCACUUGUAGAUGGACCCGCGGCGCAUUAGUUAGUUGGUGAGGUAAUGGCUCACCAAGACCAUGAUGCGUAGCCGACCUGACAGGGUGAUCGGCCACACUGGGACUGAUACACGGCCCACACUCCUACGGGAGGCAGCAGUAGGGAAUCUUCCGCAAUGGACGAAAGUCUGACGGAGCAACGCCGCGUGAGUGAGAGGUUUUCAGAUCGUAUCGUGUGUAAGAAGAACAAGGAUGACAGUAACUGCUCGUCCCUUGACGGUAUCUAACCAAAACCAUGGCUAACUACGUGCCAGCAGCCGCGGUAAUACCUAUAUGGCAAGCGUUGUCCGGAUUUAUUGGGCGUAAGCGAGCGCAGGCGGUUCUUUAUUCUGAUGUG